AUUGAACGCUGGCGGCAUGCCUUACACAUGCAAGUCGAACGGCAGCACGGGGCAACCUGGUGGCGAGUGGCGAACGGGUGAGUAAUGCAUCGGAACGUACCUUUCAGUGGGGGAUAACGUAGCGAAAGUUACGCUGAUACCGCAUAUUCUGUGAGCAGGAAAGCAGGGGAUCGCAAGACCUUGCGCUGAUUGAGCGGCCGAUGUCAGAUUAGCGAGUUGGUGAGGUAAAGGCUCACCAAGGCGACGAGCUGUAGCGGGUCGGAGAGGAUGAUCCGCCACACUGGAACUGAGACACGGUCCAGACUCCUACGGGAGGCAGCAGCGGGGAAUUUUGGACAAUGGGGGCAACCCUGAUCCAGCCAUGCCGCGUGAGUGAAGAAGGCCUUCGGGUUGUAAAGCUCUUUCGGCCGGGAAGAAAUCGCACGGGCUAAUACCCUGUGUGGAUGACGGUACCGGAAUAAGAAGCACCGGCUAACUACGUGCCAGCAGCCGCCGUAAUAC
rnacentral:rRNA from 1 species